GGUGAAAGGCAGUAAGAUGAAAAUUUUACUGUCCCCACACGCGGUGCUCGUGGGAGUAACUUCUAAGCCUCCAAGGUUGCCGCCGACUCCGGUUUUCUCAAAUCUGAGACGAGAGAAGAAUAUUUUGAAUUGCAGCAUGUAUUUGAAUUGUCGGCACCGUUAAUUGAUCGUUCAUAGUCGGGCGGCCCAAGUUUGUUCUGAUAUGGGAUCCCAAUCUAAGUAACACUAGGAAGUCGAAAAUCAUCGAAACCCAAUUCAUUGCGGCAGUUUGUAGUAUGAUAGGUUUAUGCUCUCUCUAGGGGAUUCUAAGUUAUGCCUUCAUCUUAGGUGUUUCCUUCAGUAUGGCUUUUGCUUCUGAGCAAUCUCAUGGUGCUGAUUAAUGGAGUCAUUGCCCGCGGCCAGAGAGGAAGAAGUUUACCCAAUCUCCUCAGCAGUAUUGUAUGAUAGACUUAUGGGCAUACUAGGGUGAAUACGCCGGAAGUUGCUGCGCGGAGAUCACAUGAUUCAACAUAGGCAUGAUGCUCCUAUUGUAUGUGUCAUAAAACGCUAAAUGAUUAGGCAACAACAGUAUCGAGUCCUUUAAUUUGUUUUUGUACUAAGCCAGAUGCUCUUUUAAAGUUUGUGACAUGUAUUUGAUUAGCU